rnacentral:tRNA from 1 species
AGUCCUGUGGCGCAGUGGUAGCGCGCUGCUCUUAUAAUGCAGAUGUCGUGGGUUCGAUCCCCACCAGGACUA